CACCUGAAAGAUAAGAAGAAAGAGAUAUACUGAAAAGGGGGGAACAGGAGGGACUAAGGUCAAGAUUUCUAUGAUGAUUCAGUAGCAGUGAGGAUAGCCACCGAUAUUCCCCAGCCCCCCUCAAAACUCAUACCCCCCACCUUGUCAAUUACAUACACGAAAGUCCUUCCAGUCACUCAGGGAGGGACUCGAAUCACAUUUGAUUUUCGGUUUCCUUCAUCCACUAUCAAACCCAUCAGCCAGUUCACUCAUUUAUUCCUUCAAAAUGUCUCAGAUUUUCCCUUUGCUCUCCAUUCAUUCUUUCAACAUCUACCAAAUACCUACUAUGCUUCAGGUACUACGUUGGAUACUGGAAACGCAGGGACGAAAGACACACGAUCCCUCCUCUUAAUGAGUACUUUCCACCAGAAAAGACCAGAAAAUCACCAGUAGCCAUAGGAUACUAUGCAGAGAUAUGCACAAACUGCCAUGGGAACACAGAGGAGGAAGACUGAGUCAGACCAGGGAGAUCAGAGAAGACUUCCUAAAACAGUCUUUUGUUUGACCUGAGACUCGACAGCACCUAGCACAGUGCCUGACAUAGUAAGUACUCCAAAAUAUGAAGAGAGGAAUGAUGAGCGCCUAACAGAUUACAGGAAGGCAUUGAAGAGUAUUAAGCAGAACACACAGACACAAAUCUACUGUUGAAACCAUUCUUUUAAAUGGUGCCGACAUGGGGCACCUGGGUGGCUCAUUCGGUUGAGCGUCCGACUUCGGCUCAGGUCACGAUCUCGCGGUUCGUGGGGUCGAGCCCCGCGUCGGGCUCUGGGCGGACAGCUCAGAGCCUGGAGCCUGCUUUGGAUUCUGUGUCUCCCUCUCUCUCUGCCCCUCCCCCGCUUGUGUUCUCUCUCUCUCUCUCUC